rnacentral:rRNA from 1 species
GUUGAACGCUGGCGGAAUGCUUUACACAUGCAAGUCGAACGGUAGAGGGGGCAACCCCUCGAGAGUGGCGAACGGGUGAGUAAUAUAUCGGAACGUGCCCAGUCGUGGGGGAUAACGUAGCGAAAGUUACGCUAAUACCGCAUACGAUCUAAGGAUGAAAGCGGGGGAUCGCAAGACCUCGCGCGAUUGGAGCGGCCGAUAUCAGAUUAGGUAGUUGGUGGGGUAAAGGCUCACCAAGCCAACGAUCUGUAGCUGGUCUGACAGGACGACCAGCCACACUGGAACUGAGACACGGUCCAGACUCCGACGGGAGGCAGCAGUGGGGAAUUUUGGACAAUGGACGCAAGUCUGAGCCAGCCAUUCCGCGUGCAGGAUGAAGGCCCUCGGGUUGUAAACUGCUUUUGUACGGAACGAAAAGGUCUCUCUUAAUACGGGGGACUCAUGACGGUACCGUAAGAAUAAGCACCGGCUAACUACGUGCCAGCCGCCGCCGUAAAAC